UACGUAGGGGGCAAGCGUUAUCCGGAUUUACUGGGUGUAAAGGGAGCGUAGACGGCAGGGCAAGUCUGGAGUGAAAGCCCGGGGCCCAACCCCGGGACUGCUUUGGAAACUGCCAUGCUGGAGUGCAGUAGAGGAAAGUGGAAUUCCUAGUGUAGCGGUGGAAUGCGUAGAUAUUAGGAGGAACAUCAGUGGCGAAGGCGACUUUCUGGACUGUAACUGACGCUGAGGCACGAAAGUGUGGGGAGCAAACAGG
rnacentral:rRNA from 1 species